GACGAACGCUGGCGGCGUGCCUAACACAUGCAAGUCGAACGGAACUGUUUUGAAAGAUUUCUUCGGAAUGAAUUUGAUUUAGUUUAGUGGCGGACGGGUGAGUAACGCGUGAGUAACCUGCCUUCAAGAGGGGGAUAACAUUCUGAAAAGAAUGCUAAUACCGCAUGAUAUAUCGGAACCACAUGGUUUUGAUAUCAAAGAUUUUAUCGCUUGAAGAUGGACUCGCGUCCGAUUAGUUAGUUGGUGAGGUAACGGCUCACCAAGACCGCGAUCGGUAGCCGGACUGAGAGGUUGAACGGCCACAUUGGGACUGAGACACGGCCCAGACUCCUACGGGAGGCAGCAGUGGGGGAUAUUGCGCAAUGGGGGCAACCCUGACGCAGCAACGCCGCGUGAAGGAUGAAGGUUUUCGGAUUGUAAACUUCUUUUAUUAAGGACGAAACUUGACGGUACUUAAUGAAUAAGCUCCGGCUAACUA
rnacentral:rRNA from 1 species